UACGAAGGGGGCGAGCGUUGUUCGGAUUUACUGGGCGUAAAGGGCGCGCAGGCGGCUCAUUUUGUCAGGCGUGAAAGCCCCGGGCUUAACCUGGGAACUGCGUUUGAUACGGAUGGGCUAGAGUUCGGGAGAGGAGAGUGGAAUUCCCAGUGUAGAGGUGAAAUUCGUAGAUAUUGGGAAGAACACCGGUGGCGAAGGCGGCUCUCUGGACCGAUACUGACGCUGAGGAGCGAAAGCAUGGGUAGCAAACAGG
rnacentral:rRNA from 1 species